rnacentral:rRNA from 1 species
AUGUUAGCAUCAAUACCAACUGAAAAAUUUGGGGAUUUGCAUUUACUUGAAGCACUGUACGUAUCCCGAUGUAAAAACAUCCACCUCCAGAGAUUGGUUUCUCGGUCCCUUAAGCAGCUCGGCCUACGGGAUUCUGGUCUCUUUUGCAAUAUCGACUGCUGCUCUCUCACUAAAUUUACUUUAGCAUGCAAGUCUGUCACAUCCAUCCAACUGCAAACGUGGAGUCUUCCAGCACUACGAGAGCUGCAUAUUUGGUGUGAAUCUCUUGCAUCUAUUAGAGACUCCUCUAAUAGGUCCGUUCCCGCGGGCACUAGCAGAAUUGGAGCAUUCUCGUCCCUUAAAGUCAUAAAAUUUAGUGACUGUCGUAAAUUUCCAACCCUUGAUGACCUGGUAACACAAGAGCAUCUACCUGCUAUUGAGAAAAUUGAAAUCAGCUGUUGUUGUUCGGAGUUAAAGUCCCUGCCAGCUGAAUGGUUUCCCUAUCUAAAACAUCUGGUGGUUGAUGAGUGCACAAGUCUCAAGUGGCGAACAGGUUUUGUGUUGCCAUCAUGCCUCCAAAGCCUACGCUUAAACGAAUGUGGGGAUAUCUCUCCAUGUAUUCCCAGCUGCAUAGAGAACCUCACAUCCCUCGUCUCACUUGAAAUUGAAGGAUGCAACGGAAUAAAAUCCAUUCCAGGCAACGUUUGGCACAAUUAUCUUGUAUCACUCGAGAAAUUGGUGAUUAAGAAAUGUCAAGACCUAGUUUCAAUUGGUGGAGCAGAGGUGGUUGCAAAUAUAAAGGAGGUGGAGGUCAGGGGGUGUCCAAAGUUAGAGGAAGCGGACCAGAUCAAUAGGUGGCCCCGCCAAAGUACAAGGAGGACUAUGUGA